rnacentral:rRNA from 1 species
UACGUAGGGUCCGAGCGUUGUCCGGAAUUAUUGGGCGUAAAGAGCUCGUAGGCGGUUUGUCGCGUCGGCUGUGAAAUCCCGAGGCUCAACCUCGGGUCUGCAGUGGGUACGGGCAGACUGGAGUGCGGUAGGGGAGAAUGGAAUUCCUGGUGUAGCGGUGGAAUGCGCAGAUAUCAGGAGGAACACCGAUGGCGAAGGCAGUUCUCUGGGCCGUAACUGACGCUGAGGAGCGAAAGCGUGGGGAGCGAACAGG